UACGAAGGGGGCUAGCGUUGCUCGGAAUCACUGGGCGUAAAGCGCACGUAGGCGGAUCUUUAAGUCAGGGGUGAAAUCCUGGAGCUCAACUCCAGAACUGCCUUUGAUACUGGGGAUCUCGAGUCCGGGAGAGGUGAGUGGAACUGCGAGUGUAGAGGUGAAAUUCGUAGAUAUUAGGAAGAACACCAGUGGCGAAGGCGGCUCACUGGUCCGGUACUGACGCUGAGGUGCGAAAGCGUGGGGAGCAAACAGG
rnacentral:rRNA from 1 species